CAAUAGCGUAUAUUUAAGUUGUUGCAGUUAAAAAGCUCGUAGUUGGAUUUCGGGCGGGUGACGGCGGUCCGCCUCUGGUGUGCACUGCCGGCAUCCGCCUUUCUGUCGGGGACGGGCUCCUGGGCUUCAUUGCUUGGGACUCGGGUUCGACGUGGUUACUUUGAGUAAAUUAGAGUGUUCAAAGCAGGCGAUCGCCCUGAAUACAUUAGCAUGGAAUAGCACGAUAGGACUCUGGCCUAUUUUGCUGGUCUGUAGGACCGGAGUAAUGAUUAAGAGGGACAGUCGGGGGCAUUCGUACUUCAUUGUCAGAGGUGAAAUUCUUGGAUUUAUGAAAGACGAACUUCUGCGAAAGCAUUUGCCAAGGAUGUUUUCAUUG
rnacentral:rRNA from 1 species